rnacentral:rRNA from 1 species
UGGGCUUGACAUCCCACGACCUGGUGAAAACCAGGAGUGCCCGCAAGGGAGCGCAGAGACAGGUGGUGCAUGGCUGUCGUCAGCUCGUGUCGUGAGAUGUUGGGUUAAGUCCCGCAACGAGCGCAACCCUCACCCUUUGUUGCCAUCAGGUUAUGCUGGGCACUCUAAGGGAACUGCCUCGGUUAACGAGGAGGAAGGUGGGGAUGACGUCAAGUCAUCAUGCCCCUUACGCUCUGGGCUACACACGUGCUACAAUGGCCAAUACAAAGGGCUGCAAACCCGCGAGGGCAAGCCAAUCCCAAAAAAUUGGUCUCAGUUCAGAUUGUAGGCUGCAACCCGCCUGCAUGAAGGAGGAAUCGCUAGUAAUCGUGGAUCAGCAUGCCACGGUGAAUACGUUCCCGGGCCUUGUACACACCGCCCGUCACACCACGAAAGUCUGCUGUACUCGAAGUCGCUGAGAAUCUC